GACGAACGCUGGCGGCGUGCCUAAUACAUGCAAGUCGAGCGGACAGAAGGGAGCUUGCUCCCGGAAGUCAGCGGCGGACGGGUGAGUAACACGUGGGCAACCUGCCUGUAAGACUGGGAUAACUUCGGGAAACCGGAGCUAAUACCGGAUAGGUUCUUCCCCCGCAUGGGGGCAGGUGGAAAGACGGUUUCGGCUGUCACUUACAGAUGGGCCCGCGGCGCAUUAGCUAGUUGGUGGGGUAAUGGCCCACCAAGGCGACGAUGCGUAGCCGACCUGAGAGGGUGAUCGGCCACACUGGGACUGAGACACGGUCCAGACUCCUACGGGAGGCAGCAGUAGGGAAUCUUCCGCAAUGGACGAAAGUCUGACGGAGCAACGCCGCGUGAGCGAAGAAGGCCUUCGGGUCGUAAAGCUCUGUUGUCAGGGAAGAACAAGUGCCAGAGUAACUGCUGGCACCUUGACGGUACCUGACCAGAAAGCCACGGCUAACUACGUGCCAGCCGCCGCCGUAACAC
rnacentral:rRNA from 1 species